ensembl:lncRNA
GCCUCCUUAUUUUCUCAACCUAAAUGAUGCAUCAGACAUGUCACUUCAAGCCCUGAGCAUGCUGAGUACCAUGAAAGAAACCGCAUGUCUCAGUAGAAAGUUGGGAGAACCUGAGCCUGAAGUUGGGCGAGACGUGGAGCCUGAAUGUCUUCAUUUGUUAAUUGGGGAUAAAAGUACCAACACCAGAGACUCAUUGUGAGUGUUCUUUGAGAUCAGACGUAAGUUCUUAGCACAAGAUCAGUGGUCAAUCACAUUAAUAAAGCAUCAGGACAAAAGCUGGUUAUUUUAAUUCUCUGCAGUUCAAAGCCAGAAUUAGGACAAGACUGCCUUAGGAGAGUUAAAGGGGCAACAGACAAGCUGUAGGAUUCUAAAAUGGCUCUUUAAAGAGAUCAGUAGUGCCCAGGAUAGAAAGAAAAAAAAUGCUGCUAAGACAGAUGAAAUCCCUCUGCAGAGCUCUGUCCCCAGGAGGUGGGAUGGCCACUGCCCCAGCAGGCAGCGUGAGCUAGACGGUCAGAGUCCAAUUCCCACUAUGUCUGCCAGGCAAAUACUUGCCCAAGGACUGCUUAAAAAUAGCAUCAGACGCCACCCACCACCGAAGGUCAGUUUCCAGGAAGGUAGGGUGAGCGGGUGGAAGGUACUGCGCAAGAGGCUCCACACCUGCCCCCGUGGACCCAGAGCUUAAUUUUCAUUUGGUGAUUCCAAUAUGCUGGCAAGGUGAAGAAGCUAGCUGAUCAGCUACAAACAAGGCCCCUGAUUCUAUUCUCACUUAGCACAACCUGAAGAGCAGCUUUUCACUGGAGAAAAGAUUUGUUUGGGGGAAAAAAGAAGUGUUAUAGCAUGGAGUCAGCCACCUCUUCAGUCCCUAACCAUGGGACUGCCCUUUAAUCUCUUUUGCUGGAACAGAAGAAAAGAAAUAGUUCCAUGGUAUAGCACGGUAUGAGACUCAUGAAAGGGGUCCCAGAAAGUGGCGUGAUCAGAGUAUUAAAGGCUACGAAGAGGUCAGAGUGGGUGAGGAUCCUGAAUGACAGCAGAUUUUCGUGUCUUGCAGAAAUAGAAAUAUCCGCCUAACAAAGAGGAAGGGAUCGACGGUGCCUGUUUUCCUCUAGUUGUUGAAAAUGGAUGAAGGUUUUUAUUGGGCUAUGUGGAACCCUCUUCCUGACAGAUGGAACCAAGUAAAUUCUUAAAAGUGGCAACGCUGAGAUGAAGCUUAUGAAUAUUUUCAAGGCUUUUGAAAAAACACAGGGAACUUUCCUCCUGAAAGCUUGUACCAACACCUACACUGCAGCGUAUGAGAAUACCUGUCCCACCAUGCCUUUACUGUCCAUGUGCUGCUAUCAAUACAUAUCAAUUAGGAAAAAUGGGUGAUUCCCUAGGGACAACUCAGACCAAGAGAAAGGAAUUAGGUUCCAGCUCUGAGAUUUAGCUUAAAGAGGAAAAAAGCAAAGCAACAAAGAACAAAAUUCUUAUCCCCUUGGGCUGCCCCAAAGGAAUUGGACCAGAAGUCCAUACAGGGGGCAUCUAUUUGAAGCCUCCUGGGUCAUUAUUUCACAAAUCUUCCUUUGCACAAUGGACUUUUUUCUCCUCUUACUCGCAUGCUCAUAAACUCUUAAAUUACAUUUACCUUUACUGGGAUAUAAAGGUCAGAUGUAAUUUACCUAAUAGAACCAACUGAUGGAAAUCUAUACAGAGGAAGAGAUAGGCUCCAAAAGCUAAGAACAUUUUGUCCCUGCCUCUGUGCUGCUCUCAGCAUGUUUUAAAUAUGACCCAGCAUUUGUUAACGGAUACCACAUGUCACCAUCUUUAAAUGACCUUAUCCAUCUUAUCACCACAAUUUCAAACUAAGAAAAAAAACCUCCAUCACCAAAUGAUCCUGAAUGGUCCUGUGUGUCAUGUCAGCCAUCAGCAGCGUUGACGUGGUCAGUAAUUCUUGUAGAUAAUUUAUCAUUUACCAGAUUAUACGGAAAAUAAAAAUCUCUUGAAAAACAUCUCUCUCAAUGUUUGUUUUCGUGGCUCUCGCUAUAACAGUAGUGAAAAGAGAGAAAUUAUUUGAUUAAUUUGGUC